rnacentral:rRNA from 1 species
CCAAGGAGUCUAGCGUGUGCGCGAGUCAUUGGGUGUAAAACCUAAAGGAGUAAUGAAAGUGUCAGAGGGCGCUUGCGUUCUCAGUGGGAGGAUGGGCUGUGCGGCCUUUCGGCCGCCGCCCCGCACUCCCGGGGCGUUUCAUUCUCAUUGCGAGUCGAGGCGCACCAGGAGCGCACACGCUGGUACCCGAAAGAUGGUGAACUAUGCCUGGCCAGGACGAAGCCAGGGGAAACCCUGGUGGAGGUCCGAAGCGAUUCUGACGUGCAAAUCGAUCGUCUGAGCUGGGUAUAGGGGCGAAAGACCAAUCGAACCAUCUAGUAGCUGGUUCCCUCCGAAGUUUCCCUCAAGAUAGCUGGCUCUCGGGAAGAGACGAGUCUCAUCCGGUAGAACGAAUGAUUAGAGGUGAUGGGGUCGAAA